ensembl:processed_transcript Gas5 growth arrest specific 5
UUUCGGAGCUGUGCGGCAUUCUGAGCAGGAAUGGCAGUGUGGACCUCUGUGAUGGGACAUCUUGUGGGAUCUCACAGCCAGUUCUGUGGCAAAGGAGGAUGAAGGCUUACGAGGACUCGUCAGGAAGCUGGAUAACAGAGCGAGCGCAAUGUGCUAGAAUAGAAGACCAGAAAAUGAAAUGGUGGAGUUUGAGGCUGGAUAGACAGUUUGAAAGGUACAAAUAAUGGUUUGAAUAAAGAAAGGUAAGCAUUGUAAGUUUGGUAUUUACUAUAUGAAUUAAGGUACUGUUAGUGAUGAUCAAUAAAGUUAAACAGAUGGGAAUCUCUCUGAAUAAGAUUGAAGAUUGAUUGUUAAGCUGAAACAGUAUUUAAGGACAUCAGUAAAUAUACUUUACAAAUACAUAUUUCUAAACGGAGUGUAAUUUCUUACAGGUAUUAAUGGGUCACCUCAAGUGAAGGCACUGCAAACACAAUGAUUGGUCAUUCUGAAUUUCCGGUCCUUCAUUCUGAAUUUCAAAGGCUCCUGUGACAAGUGGACAU